GACGAACGCUGGCGGCGUGCUUAACACAUGCAAGUCGAACGGAAAGGCCCUGCUUUUGUGGGGUGCUCGAGUGGCGAACGGGUGAGUAACACGUGAGUAACCUGCCCUUGACUUUGGGAUAACUUCAGGAAACUGGGGCUAAUACCGGAUAGGAGCUCCUGCUGCAUGGUGGGGGUUGGAAAGUUUCGGCGGUUGGGGAUGGACUCGCGGCGUAUCCGCUUGUUUGUGGGGUUGUGGCUUACCAAGGCUUUGACGGGUAGCCGGCCUGAGAGGGUGACCGGCCGCAUUGGGACUGAGGGACGGCAGAGACUCCUACGGGAGGGAGCAGUGGGGAAUAUUGCACGAUGGGCGGAAGCCUGGUGCAGCAACGCCGCGUGCGGGAUGACUGCCUUCGGGGUGUAAACCGCAUGCGUCUGUGACGAAGCGUGAGUGACGGUAAUGGGUAAAGAAGCACAGGCUAACUACGUG
rnacentral:rRNA from 1 species